rnacentral:rRNA from 1 species
UACGAAGGGUCCGAGCGUUGUCCGGAAUUACUGGGCGUAAAGAGCUCGUAGGUGGUUUGUCGCGUUGUCCGUGAAAACUCACAGCUCAACUGUGGGCGUGCGGGCGAUACGGGCAGACUGGAGUACUGCAGGGGAGACUGGAAUUCCUGGUGUAGCGGUGGAAUGCGCAGAUAUCAGGAGGAACACCGGUGGCGAAGGCGGGUCUCUGGGCAGUAACUGACGCUGAGGAGCGAAAGCGUGGGGAGCGAACAGG